UAUUCCCAAAACCUCCCCCUCUCAACCAUACCCUCCCCCACCGACCAAACCACCGGCGCCUCUCUAACCGAGUGACCGCCGCUCCUCUACUAGCUCUCUCUCUCUCUCUCUCUCUCUCUCUCUCUCUCUCUCUCUCUCUCUCUCGGACCCAGUAGCUAAAGGAUUCGCCGCCUAUCCCGCCGCCCACUAGCACCGCGGAUCUCUGACGAGGGAGCGCCAGCCACCCAUCGGAGCACCGCCCAACACCGAUCAGGAACGAAGCUGACCACCAUAUUCUCGUUGUACGGUACAAUCCCAAUAGGUAUGAUGAUUAUGGUGAUGAUAGUGAUAUGGAAGCAAACUUUGAGGAUAUCAUGAAGGAGGAGAGAAGAAGUGCAAAAAUUGCAAGGAGGACGAAGAGCAACUUCUCUUCAUAGGGGAAGAAGAGGAAAGGGAGCAGUUGAGAAAGUUGAAGAAGUGUAAGCAGGGCCAUUAGUGAGACCGUAGGGAAUUUCAUGUUCCUCUUCCUUCCAUAUCAGUAUUUUGUAGUAGUUGGAAUCCUUUUUUUUACGCCAAAUUUGCUAAAUUAUUGUACCGGUUCAUUCUUCAAUUGUAAGGUUGUCGUAUCGCCUAUUUUACGUGUGGUUUUGGCUAGAAAAUCGUGUAGCAACUGUCCAUAGGCAUGUAUUUUGGUGAUGGCAUUCUCUACGGUGCACUAUUUUUUUGAGAAAUUUGGCUCUAGCACACGAAAUGGACAAUUAGUUAUUUUGAUAUGAUGCUAUUUUAUUUAUUUGUUGGCGUCUUUCUCCUUACCUCUGAAGUGUGCAUUGUAAGACAUCUGAUGUAACUUAAAGGGCUAUGUAACUUAAGACAUCCUUGUUACUGUAAAUGAGAAUUCACCAUUUUUGUAUGUAAAAGUUAGUAUUUGUGUUCUUUGUAAAG